ACGUGAUGCACGUACCGCUGCCGGCGGGCGGCGUGAUGACGCAAGGAGACUGUGCGCAGCUGCAGACAUGUGUGAUCGCGGUGGUGAGGGUACUCCUGGACGUUGUUACCAUCCACUGCCAUCGAGGGUGCCAGCUGGUGCCUGCGACCUGCUGAGUACAGGUGGACGACCCUCGGCUCCUCCGCAGCAGAGCUCCUGUAAGAUGCGCUGUGCAAGCGUUGAACACGCCCGUCUCCUGAAGUUGCUGUCAGAGGCACUUCUCGGCACCUCCCCCAACCCAGCAGACUCUGCACUGUGUUCCUGCUCCAGCUUCAGCAGCAGACAUCCCAGGAUGUGAGAGCUAGAAGAGACUUGAAAGGCGAUCCCUUCCGUGGAUGAUAGAUUAUUCCAGGGAAUCUGCAGUGGAGUCAGGAGUUUCUGGUUCUUGGCCCAGCUGCCAUGUGCACGUCUGACUGACCUCUGACCCCAGGUUUGGAUGCCAUAUUGUCUACUUCCAGAACAAGGAUCUUCGCUAUACAUCGGUACCCAGGCCCCUCUGACAUCUCCUGAAUGAGAAGCGAUAUUUAAUAAAACAGUUUAAAAUUUGUAAUUCA